UAGGGUCUAUGAGAACGGGACUCUAAUCUAAUAUUUAUAUGUUCACCAAAAAUCAGUUAUUGUUGUAAAUAAUUAGUUGUGGAGCCCACAUGUUCCCUAGGCUUUGCCGAUAAAAGGGUUCAUCCCUUCAUUGUUCAAUACACAUAGAAAUGAGAAUAAGAAACUCAGUUUCUCUACUUUCUCUCUCUCUCUCUCAAUUUCCUCUCCAAAUUCUCCAGUUUUAUAACACGUUAUCAGCACGAUUUCGUUCAAACAAUACCAGCUGAGUUUUAUGAUGAAACCCAGUCAGAAAAACGCUUUGUUGUAAGCCUUCCAAUUCCAAAGAAAGAAACAGUGAAAAACAGAGAGAGAUGCGAAGCUAUGGAUUAGCAAUCUCAGGAAGCGAUUCCUGCUUCUACAUCUCCACAACCCACAAACCAAUUUCAUUUUCAAUAUUAAGAUUAUUGGCAUGCUUCCACGAGUUCUCCCUCGACCUGUCCAUCUUGCUGCAGCAGAUCCACGGGAGCAAGAUGUGGCGACGUAGAGGAGGUCGUUCCUCUGCUCCAAAACCAGUGCUCGCGGAGCACAACGAAAUCGUUCAUGGAUCCCCUAGACGACGAUCUCAGGCGCGAGGUCCGCUCAGCCGCAGGUCAGCCGCGGGUCCACCAUCCUCGCCGCCUCAGCUCCAUGGCGACGGGGAAACCCCAUGUACUUAGCAGGCUUCCAUGCCCGUCACAAGCUCCUGAACUUGCUGCAAAAGCCGAGGGUUUUUCAGUGCCAAACCCUCGUCCACAACUCCACCAUGCACCUCGCUCUCAACCCACUGCGCUGGCGGCCUAGUUGCAGCACUUGAGCCCUGGCGAGAAGGCCACAAAGUCGUGGUCUCUGAGCAUGGAGACCAAGUGGGAAGCACAUGGGUCUCCACUCCGAAGGUAGAAUCCGACCCACUUGGACUGCUCCUGGAUCGGACCACGGUCCAUUCGAGCAUGCACCAGUCAAUCCGGAUGAACCUCCCGAGAGAGUCCAUGGGUUUCAAGGACUACCCAUUUGUGGCCAAAGAAGAAGACGAAAAAAAAAGGUGGGAAAGCAAAUUUAACUGGCAGAGAAAGAGAAGAAUAAUGGAGGUGCGUAUUUUGGGAGAAUAGUAAGGCACAGAGUGGAGGUGCCAGAGCAGCAGCGUAACUCAUUGUUCGGGCGACAGCUUCCCACCCAGCGCACUUGCUUAAAGAAAAAGUUUUAAGUGCGCAUGCGUGAACCACUAAAUUAUGAUAAUUAUUAAUAUUAUUACUAUUGCUUGCAAUCUCACAUGGAGGCCACGCCAAAAGACCAAGCAAAAUAAAAGGCAGAGGGGAAUGUGUCGCUUUGCUUGGGCUUUGAUUGCAAAAUUGGUCAGAAGAGAACAGACAGAAAGGAUAAGCUUCCUUUCAUCUUUUCAAUUAUUUCAUUAUUAUUCUUAAAAGCCAAUAAUGGAGGUGGGAGGUGGAGCCAAUGAGCUCAGUCAAGCAAACCCACCGAAAGGAUAAGCUUCCUCUCAUCUUUUCAAUUAUUUCAUUAUUAUUCUUUAUUAUUUAAAUUGAAUAUUAAGAUGCAGGUCUAUAGUGCAGGUACAUAAUUAUAUUAUUUUAAUAUUAUAUCAUUAUUAAAGGUGUGCAGGGAUACAGCAAAGCCGAUCGGCCAAUAUCAUAGCGUUAUCCCCACUACUGUGAUAUCAUGUCAUUGUCGAAAGACAAUCACUCGUCUCUGCUUUUUACGUCAUGGAUGGGCAUGUGGAUUAUGGAUGUAUAUCAAUUCUUGAUGCUUAUACAGAUCAGAACAAGAAGUUCCUUGA